GGGGAAUAUUGGACAAUGGGCGCAAGCCUGAUCCAGCCAUGCCGCGUGAGUGAUGAAGGCCUUAGGGUUGUAAAGCUCUUUCACCGGUGAAGAUAAUGACGGUAGCCGGAGAAGAAGCCCCGGCUAACUUCGUGCCAGCAGCCGCGGUAAUACGAAGGGGGCUAGCGUUGUUCGGAAUUACUGGGCGUAAAGCGCACGUAGGCGGAUUGGUCAGUUAGGGGUGAAAUCCCAGGGCUCAACCCUGGAACUGCCUUUAAUACUGCCAGUCUUGAGUUCGAGAGAGGUGAGUGGAAUUCCGAGUGUAGAGGUGAAAUUCGUAGAUAUUCGGAGGAACACCAGUGGCGAAGGCGGCUCACUGGCUCGAUACUGACGCUGAGGUGCGAAAGCGUGGGGAGCAAAC
rnacentral:rRNA from 1 species